rnacentral:rRNA from 1 species
CCUACGGGAGGCAGCAGUGAGGAAUAUUGGUCAAUGGGCGGAAGCCUGAACCAGCCAAGUAGCGUGCAGGAUGACGGCCCUACGGGUUGUAAACUGCUUUUAUACGGGAAUAACGCGCCUUACGUGUAGGGCUUUGCAUGUACCGUAUGAAUAAGGCCCGGCUAAUUCCGUGCCAGCAGCCGCGGGAAUACGGAAGGUCCGGGCGUUAUCCGGAUUUAUUGGGGUUAAAGGGAGCGUAGGCCGCAUGUCAAGCUUGCUGUGAAAUGUCCGGGGUCAACCCGGGCCUUGCAGCGCAAACUGGCGUGCUUGAGCCCGCGGGAAGCAGGCGGAAUUCGUGGUGUAGCGGUGAAAUGCUUAGAUAUGACGAAGAACCCCGAUUGCGAAGGCAGCUUGCUGGAGCGGAACUGACGCUGAUGCUCGAAAGCGCGGGGAUCGAACAGGAUUAGAUACCCGAGUAGUC